UACGUAGGGUGCGAGCGUUGUCCGGAAUUACUGGGCGUAAAGCGUGCGUAGACGGUUAUGUAAGUCAGAUGUGAAAGCCCCGGGCUUAACCCUGGGAAUGGCAUUUGAGACUGCAUAGCUAGGGUGCGGAAGAGGGAAGCGGAAUUUCCGGUGUAGCGGUGAAAUGCGUAGAUAUGCGGAGGAACACCGAUGGCGAAGGCAAUCCCCUGGCCUGUACUGACGCUCAUGCACGAAAGCGUGGGGAGCAAACAGG
rnacentral:rRNA from 1 species